AAUAGAUACCCCGGUAGUCCACGCCGUAAACGAUAGAGUGCUAAGUGUUAGGGGGGUUUCCGCCCCUUAGUGCUGCAGCUAACGCAUUAAGCACUCCGCCUGGGGAGUACGGUCGCAAGACUGAAACUCAAAGGAAUUGGACGGGGGCCCGCACAAGCGGUGGAGCAUGUGGUUUAAUUCGAAGCAACGCGAAGAACCUUACCAGGUCUUGACAUCCCAUUGACCACUAUGGAGACAUAGUUUUCCCUUCGGGGACAACGGUGACAGGUGGUGCAUGGUUGUCGUCAGCUCGUGUCGUGAGAUGUUGGGUUAAGUCCCGCAACGAGCGCAACCCUUGUUCUUAGUUGCCAUCAUUUAGUUGGGCACUCUAAGGAGACUGCCGGUGACAAACCGGAGGAAGGUGGGGGAUGACGUCAAAUCAUCAUGCCCCUUAUGACCUGGGCUACACACGUGCUACAAUGGACGGUACAAACGGGUUGCCAACCCGGCGAGGGGGAGCUAAUCCGAUAAAACCGUUCUCAGUUCGGAUUGUAGGCUGCAACUCGCCUACAUGAAGGCC
rnacentral:rRNA from 1 species